rnacentral:tRNA from 1 species
GGCACAAUGGUUAAGUAUUUGGCUGCUAACCAAAAAGUUGGUGGUUCAAAUCCACC